rnacentral:rRNA from 1 species
GUUGACCUCAAAUCAGGUAGGACUACCCGCUGAACUUAAGCAUAUC